rnacentral:sRNA from 1 species
AUUCGAACCUGCAGCAGGUUCGGGUCGAGCGUAGUGAGACAACGGAGCCGUUUACGGAGACGGCCCGAAGGGCGAGCGAAGCGAGUCAUCCUGCACGCCCCACCA